UUUAAGUGCAACUAUGAGUUCCGUACCCAACUUUGACAGUUCGUCUUAUUAAAAAAAAUUACAAUUAGUAUUUUUAUUGUUAUGAGAUGAUAAAACAUAAAUAGUACUUUAUACGUGACUUAUUUUUUUUAAUUUUUUUUCAAAUAAGACGUGCGAUCAAAGUUUAGCACGGAAAAUCAUGGUUACACUUAAA
rfam:Oryza nivara chromosome 3, whole genome shotgun sequence.